CCUACGGGUGGCAGCAGUGAGGAAUAUUGGUCAAUGGGCGCGAGCCUGAACCAGCAAAGCCGCGUGAGGGAAGACGGUCCUAUGGAUUGUAACCCUCUUUUGUCGGGGAGCAAAAGACGCCACGCGUGGCGUUCUGAGAGUACCCGAAGAAAAAGCAUCGGCUAACUCCGUGCCAGCAGCCGCGGUCAUACGGGGGAUGCGAGGGUUAUCCGGAUUUAUUGGGUUUAACGGCUGCGCAGGCGGAAGAUCAAGUCAGUGGUAACAUUGAGGGGCUCAACCUCUGCGAGCCGUUGAAACUGGUGUUCUUGAGUGAGUGAGAAGUAGGCGGAAUGCGGGGUGUAGCGGUGAAAUGCAUAGAUAUCACGCAGAACUCCGAUGGCGAAGGCAGCAUACCGGCGCUCAACUGACGCUGAGGCACGAAAGUGUGGGUAUCGAACAGGAUUAGAUACCCGGGUAGUC
rnacentral:rRNA from 1 species